rnacentral:rRNA from 1 species
AAUGAACGCUGGCGGCGCGCCUAAUACAUGCAAGUCGAGCGAGAAGACGUAGCAAUACGUUUGUAAAGCGGCGAACGGGUGAGGAAUACAUGGGUAACCUACCCUCGAGUGGGGAAUAACUAGCCGAAAGGUUAGCUAAUACCGCGUACGCUUCUUGGACUUCGGUUCAGGGAGGAAAGCGAUGCCGAGGGUAUCGCGCUCUUGGAUGGGCUCAUGUCCUAUCAGCUUGNGGUGAGGUAACGGCUCACCAAGGCUUCGACGGGUAGCUGGUCUGAGAGGACGAUCAGCCACACUGGCACUGCGACACGGGCCAGACUCCUACGGGAGGCAGCAGUAAGGAAUAUUGCGCAAUGGGCGAAAGCCUGACGCAGCGACGCCGCGUGGGGGAUGAAGGUCUUCGGAUUGUAAACCCCUUUCGGGAGGGAAGAUGGAA